UGACCUCGGAUCAGGUAGGGAUACCCGCUGAACUUAAGCAUAUCAAUAAGCGGAGGAAAAGAAACCAACAGGGAUUGCCCCAGUAACGGCGAGUGAAGCGGCAAGAGCUCAAAUUUGAAAGCUGGCUCCUUCGGGGUCCGCAUUGUAAUUUGCAGAGGAUGCUUCGGGAGCGGUCCCCAUCUAAGUGCCCUGGAACGGGACGUCAUAGAGGGUGAGAAUCCCGUAUGGGAUGGGGUGUCCGCGCCCAUGUGAAGCUCCUUCGACGAGUCGAGUUGUUUGGGAAUGCAGCUCUAAAUGGGUGGUAAAUUUCAUCUAAAGCUAAAUAUUGGCCGGAGACCGAUAGCGCACAAGUAGAGUGAUCGAAAGAUGAAAAGCACUUUGAAAAGAGAGUUAAAAAGCACGUGAAAUUGUUGAAAGGGAAGCGCUUGCGACCAGACUCGCUCGUGGGGUUCAGCCGGCAUUCGUGCCGGUGUACUUCCCCGCGAGCGGGCCAGCGUCGGUUUGGGCGGUCAGUCAAAGGCCUCUGGAAGGUAACGCCCCCUCGGGGGCGUCUUAUAGCCAGGGGUGCAAUGUGGCCUGCCCGGACCGAGGAACGCGCUUCGGCUCGGACGCUGGCAUAAUGGUCGUAAGCGACC
rnacentral:rRNA from 1 species